rnacentral:rRNA from 1 species
AACGAACGCUGGCGGCAGGCCUAAUACAUACAAGUCGAGGGGCCCGUAAGGGCACCGGCGCACGGGUGCGUAACGCGUGGGAAUAUACCCUUCACUACGGAACAACGUCGGGAAACUGACGCUAAUACCGUAUGAUGACUCCGGUCCAAAGAUUUAUCGGUGAAGGAUUAGCCCCCGUCUGAUUAGCUAGUUGGUGAGGUAACGGCUCACCAAGGCGACGAUCAGUAGCUGGUCUGAGAGGAUGAUCAGCCACACUGGGACUGAGACACGGCCCAGACUCCUACGGGAGGCAGCAGUAAGGAAUAUUGGACAAUGGCGGAAACUCUGAUCCAGCCAUGCCGCGUGAGUGAAGAAGGCCUUCGGGUUGUAAAGCUCUUUUAAUCGUGAAGGUAAUGACGGUAGCGAUAGAAAAAGCUCCGGCUAAAUUCGUGCCAGCCGCCGCAGUAA